AUUGAACGCUGGCGGCAGGCCUAACACAUGCAAGUCGAACGAGUGGCGGACGGGUGAGUAAUGUCUGGGAAACUGCCUGAUGGAGGGGGAUAACUACUGGAAACGGUAGCUAAUACCGCAUACCAUCGGAUGUGCCCAGAUGGGAUUAGCUAGUAGGUGGGGUAACGGCUCACCUAGGCGACGAUCCCUAGCUGGUCUGAGAGGAUGACCAGCCACACGGGAACUGAGACACGGGCCAACCCCCGACGGGAGGCAGCAGUGGGGAAUAUUGCACAAUGGGCGCAAGCCUGAUGUAGCCAUGCCUCGUGUAUGAAGAAGGCCUUCGGGUUGUAAAGUACUUUCAGCGUGGAGGCUUUACCCUCAGAAGUAGCACCGGCUAACUCCGGGCCAGCAGCCGCUGUAAUAC
rnacentral:rRNA from 1 species